ensembl:lncRNA
GCUGUGAAGGAAUGCUGUUCUGGAGGCCAUGUAAACUAUAUACAAAAGCUUGCGUGUUUCUUGAAAGGAUCUGCUGUUUUAAGAGGUAAAAAUAUCCAAAUCCUGCUUAACUCUUUGGUUGAUGGAACUUCUGCAUGUGCACAGCACUCGCUCAUGCGGUCGAGUGGCUUCCCUGUGCUGGAGAUGGCCCAAGCACGUCAGAAUUUGGGAAUUGUUCCCUGUGUCAUUGGUUUCCUCUCCAAGAGCACGGGCCCUUCCAACAGGACCAGGUUUUGUUUGUGGAUGGACUGGGGAGCACAAAGGUACAAGUGCUACCAGAUCACAGAGCUGCUGAGUAUUGUGCUUCCAACGUUAAAGAUAUAACUGGCUUAUGGAGUAGGCUGCAGGUACAAGCUGGACCUAGAAAAGACAACAAGAGAGGUGUUCAAGCCGUUCAGCUUAUGCAGAACACGGGAACAAUUCAAAUUCCUCUUCAGCUGUGUCAGUCAUCUCCAAAGUCGACACCUGCAGCUGUGUUAAAUUAUAAAGGAGCUCCGAAAAUGAGAGGGGAUGGACUUAUCAUUAAUAUCGUGCAGAUUGUGCUCUCUUCAAAUGGGAGAAAUGCCUGA